AGCAAGAGCAAGUACUCCAGUGAGCAGUAUAUGUGGAGAGCCAUCGUUACCAUCUCUAACAGACACUUUACUGUCUGAUGAGGAGGAAGUGUCUCAGCCACCUUCCACAGUUAUCAAUGACGAGACCUCUGGUGACCUUUGGAAUGAUUUGCAGAAUUACAAACUGCCUCUUUUUCCGCCAUGCGUAAAGACCCUCUUACAAACAAGAAAAAGUCCACAAGAUUACCUGCCUGGAACUUCAAACAGAAGAAGAAUCAUUGAGGUCCUUACAUGUGACCUACAAAAGAGGAAUAUCCUGACACCUUCAAAACAGGGAUACACCAACCUACUAGAUGCCCUGUUUAGUGAAUAUCCACACAUUGGAGACCCAGUAAGAAUGCAUGUUUUUAUUAAUUUGAUGUGCAUUUCGCCUGUGUAAUCCAUGUUCUUAUUAUUUAAUUAGAACACAUAUAACUCUAAAUUUAAUGGUUAAACGUAAAUAAAUGAGUGGCCGUACUAAUUUUUUUUUGUCACUUGCA